UCGCUACAAGCUUAUUGCAUCGGCACGUGUGACAUGUUUGUGUUGCACUCUCCUCUCCUCCCGCCCCACUUCGCACUGCCCGGCGUCCCGCUGUCUUCGACCUUCCAUGAGCGAUCACCUGUAAGCUCGAUCCAUUCACUGCUCUGCUGAUCUGCUACUUGUCGAUAUCUUAGCUGCAGACGAUAGCAAUUGAUGCACGUCCAUCCUCAAUUAAGCCCUUCCAUGGUCAAAUUCCAUCAAUCUCAAUAGGAUUGGAUCCACCAGGGAGAAGCUAUAUUCUACUUUACUGAUUACCGCUUCAAAAGUGCUACAAAGUUAUUGGUUGAAUGAGAUGGCCGAUGCAGCAGUUGGCAAGGGUCACUCUUAUGGUGAGAUCAAUAGCAUGCAGAAAAAUGCAUUUGAUUUAGGAGUCUUUGUUGGAGAUUUGAGUUUUGAGGAGGACGCAAGCAGUGAUGAUGUCUCAUUGGAAGGACUGCAAGAAGAACUAGAAGAAUGUAAAAAUGAUGAUGUAAGUGGCAUUUUCUUUGUUGAUUCAUUUGCCAAGUUUUGAUAUGAAAGGUACAAUGAGAAGAGAAGAUGUCCUCGUGAAAACAAAAUGAAAAGUUACAUUUGAUUACAAUAGAGCUGCCCUCCAAACCCUUUGCACGUUGGGCAGUGACAACCUCCAAAAUACCUGAACAAACGGGACCCAUCCUAUAGAAAAGGAGAGGUUGUGCAAUUCUUGCAAGUCUCAAAUUCCUCUCAAUCCACAGGGUCCACCGGAUAGCAAAAUGCGUGCAGCUCCAUAAAGCUCUUCUCUUUUUGUUUUUGCCAAAACUCCAUUAUCUCACUUGCAGGAAAUCUCCCACCACCCGAGGAGCCACCCAAGCUGCACAAAAACAAGAGAAAAAGAGAACUUUGAUGAUAGUUUGCCACCUUACAAUGAAGGAACAGGUGUGCAUUUGUAAUUUGGGAAACAAACUUCCAGGUGCUUGCGUGAGAGGCAAUGCAAUUGAGCUAGAACUUAGUUAAAUGUGAAGAAUGUCUUCCUACAUGGUGAUCUUUGGGAGGAAGUCUAUAUGAGCAAUUGGUUUUGUUGCCUAGGGGGAGUCAUGAUUAGUGUGUCAGCUCAAGAAAUCCUUGUAUGAUUUGAAGCAAUCUCCUAGAGCAUGUUUGGUUGAUUUAGUGCUGUUGUACUUGAGUUUGGCCUUGUGUGCUGCAUAUCACAUUGUAUUUUAUUGUCACAUUGUGGCACUGUCUGUGGUAGGAUUUUCCUCAUUGUGUAUGUGGAUGAUAUUGUGAUUACUAGUGAGGAUGAUUGAGGUAUUCGACCC